rnacentral:rRNA from 1 species
UACGGAGGGUGCGAGCGUUAAUCGGAAUUACUGGGCGUAAAGCGCGCGUAGGUGGCUUGAUAAGCCGGUUGUGAAAGCCCUGGGCUCAACCUGGGAACGGCAUCCGGAACUGUCAAGCUAGAGUGCAGGAGAGGAAGGUAGAAUUUCCGGUGUAGCGGUGAAAUGCGUAGAGAUCGGGAGGAAUACCAGUGGCGAAGGCGGCCUUCUGGACUGACACUGACACUGAGGUGCGAAAGCGUGGGUAGCAAACAGG